AGCGAACGCUGGCGGCAGGCCUAAUACAUGCAAGUCGAACGGCUCUUCGGAGCAGUGGCGGACGGGUGAGUAACGCGUGGGAACGUGCCCUUUGGUUCGGAACAACACAGGGAAACUUGUGCUAAUACCGAAUGUGCCCUUCGGGGGAAAGAUUUAUCGCCAUUGGAGCGGCCCGCGUUGGAUUAGCUAGUUGGUGGGGUAAUGGCCCACCAAGGCUACGAUCCAUAGCUGGUCUGAGAGGAUGAUCAGCCACACUGGGACUGAGACACGGCCCAGACUCCUACGGGAGGCAGCAGUAGGGAAUCUUGCGCAAUGGGCGAAAGCCUGACGCAGCCAUGCCGCGUGAAUGAUGAAGGUCUUAGGAUUGUAAAAUUCUUUCACCGGGGAAGAUAAUGACGGUACCCGGAGAAGAAGCCCCGGCUAACUUCGUGCCAGCAGCCGCCGUAA
rnacentral:rRNA from 1 species